rnacentral:lncRNA from 1 species
CAGCAAAUGUGCCCCCACAUGGACCAGGAUGGAGCUGGGGGGGCUCCUGCAGCGUUAUCCUCUUUGCUCAGGUCUUCUGGCCAAGCAGUAUCAGUCCUGUAUGGUCUGGCCAAUGCCAGCAGCCACCUUGGUUAAAUGGGCAGGAGGAGGCCGAUGGAUUGAGUGAAAUGAGCUUUCUUAUGGCACCCACUCAUGGCCACCUGCUUGUGACACCUUUCCAUGUUCCGUUCCUCUGCAGGGCUAAGCCUUGAGCCAACACUCAGAUGCUCUCCAAAAGCAGCUGUUGAUCCUCCCCAGCCAUUCUCCUUGGAGUGAACAGCAUUGGAGGGCAGUGGAGCUCUCUCCCUGCCCGGUGGGAUGCCAGGGAGCUUUGACAGAUGGAGACUGUUAAUAUUGAACAUAUCAUUACGCUGGCCACAGCCGCAAUUCCUUCUGCAGCAAUGUGUAAGGAGGGCAUCAAUAUUAAGGAAAUAAUAUUGCUGAGUUUCUCCCAAGGGGAAACUGUACCGGAGGGCACAGCCUUCCAUGGGGCAAUCAGCUCGGGCUGGUCCUGGGACACCAGCAGACCCCACAGUGAACUUCUCCACUAUUGCCCCAUUGACACCGCUCUCCACCCUUUCCCUGCUUGGCUGCACAGAUUUGAGCAUUUGUGCCUGAAUUUCUCUAUUUUUGCCCAAGAGAGCCCACCACAUGCUGGUCCUUUUUUGCUAAGCUCAUGCUAAGCACACACUGGGCCCAGCGCGAGGGCUGAUUGAUUGAUUUGUGCUGGAAGGAGCCAGGCUUUGCUGUUCUUACACCAGGUGCCCAAAAAAAUGUUAAUUCAAGCCCAUGAAUAGAGAACCCCUCUGGUUUUUGUUAUGCAGGACAGUGGCAGAUUUAGAGUAAUAGAAUCAUUAAGGUCAGAAAGGACCUCUAAGAUCACCUAGUCCAACCAUCGUUUACUGCAUACAUCUUAUUUUAAAGCUACCCAUAAUACUACAAAUGCUAUCUGCUGGAUUUGAUGUUAUUGCAUAUUAUGGCUUUUUCUAAGGAGGGUGAGCACCAGUUUUGCUGGGGCUGCAAGCACGGAGCCCUUUCUCAUAACACGGGGCUAUUUUUGACUUUUUGCUGCAUUUCUUCUCAGUGUGGCUCAGGCCGGGAGCAGCUUCAGCUGCAUCCCCAAGAGGACGUUUCCCUUGGGAGCCCCGUGCCAGCCCCGCAGCCCCCACACCGCACCCAAGAAAAAGCUUUAUUUAUACUCAUUUAGCCGCUUGCCUUUUACAUAAUUGCAAUCAUUAACCUUCUCGCUUAAUGAAGAACGUGCCCGGGGGCUGGUGGACCCCUCCCGGGCCGCGCUGUGGAUUCCUGCCCGUUGCAAUGAGUUGGCCAGCUGAGACAUCCUUGGGAGGUGGCCUCAGGAGCGGGGCCCCAAACCUGCUCCCGCAUCCCAGUGCCGCCGGCAGUGGGACUUCAGCUCGUGGUGUCCACGGGGGUGGCAGGGCUGGCUCUGGCAUCUUGUCUUGGCAGAGAAGUCAUCCGCGCUGACCACGGGGAGGGCUUUUUGCCCGCCAGGUCCCACUUUGCUCCCCUAUAUUUAGCCCGUUAUGAAUAUGGAAUAGCGUUGAAAAUGAUUCGCGCAGACAUCCCUCUGUCCAGCCGAAUAACGUCAACGGCGGUCGCAGGGAAGGCAGCGCUCGCCCUGACAGAGGCCCCUGUGCUGGGCGACACAAAGCUGCUCUGGUGGCCGUGCGGAGACCACCCUGGGAUGCUUGGGGUGCCGUGGGGACCCAAGGGGCACAAGCCCUCUGAUUGUUGUCCAAGGUCCCAGCUGGCCGGGGCCAGGACCUGAGCAGUGCCCAGCUGUGCACCCACCUCUGGGGGCAAUGCUGUCCCUGGCCACACACUACAUCCUCCAGAGAUGUGGAGCUCAAGCUUUAAACCCAUGCGUUGCCCGUGGGUGUGUUGAGUUGGAUUGGAUGGCCUAUGGUUGGACACGAUGAUCUCAGAGAUGUUUUCCAACCUUAAUGGUUCUAUAAUUCUACACUCAUCAUAGUGCUUGCCUGGGGAGCACACCGCUCUCAGAAGAGCGUUUGGGCACCCUUCUGAAUGCAUCCUGUUGCCCAAUGGGCUGGGGCUCUCCAUUGGCAGGGGAUUCUGUUCCCAGGAAUCAUAGAAUUAUUAAGGUUGGAAAGAUCACUGAGCUCAUCUAGUCCAACCAUCAGCCUACCUUCACCAUGUCCCUCAGAACCCCAUCUCCAUGGUUCUUGAGCACCUCCAGAGACAGUGACUAUGCCACUUCCCUGAGAGGUGUGCUUCCUUGGGACAGUCCCCAGUGAGAGCUUGGCGGCGCCGGGACUGUCACAAUGGCCUGGUGUCCUCAUGCUCCCAGCAGAGGCGGUAACCAGUGACAAGGGUCAUCAGCUGGGGGCAGAGGUGGCAUUUGGGGUGGCUUGCUAGUACUGCUUCCGUUGCUGCACCCAUUGCCCUGUCCCAAAGCCAGGCAGGAUGGUGGGUAAGUCCUGCCCCACAGCCCCUCCAGCUCCUUUUUGUUGUUCUGGGGUUUGAAGAGCAUUUGUGCAAAAGCUUUUGGGCAUUGCAGGAAAGAGGGAAGCAGCUUUAUCCAAGCUGUUAAUGAAAUGUCAUUUGUGAUUCACAUCCAUGGGCAUCACGUGGUGACAGCCCCCGGUUGUGCCCGCUCGGGGGGGGGGGCUUAUUGUGGAUGGGGGGAAAGGCUUUGCAGCACCAUGAUGCGGCAGGGGCCAGAGGAGCCCUUCUACUCCCCAUGUGCUGAAAGCAGAUCGUGCCCCAAGGGUGACUCCGCCAGUGGUAGCAUGGGUAUUGUUUUUCUCUUCCCCUUUCCUUUGUCCGUGCUGGAAGUCGAGGCAGAGGACGGACCACCCCAAACAUUCCUGUGAGGGAGGAGCGCAGCCAGCCUGCAAAAUCUGCACCUCUGCAAGGUGAGAGCUCUGGCUCUCAUUUGCAUUUUUAAUUAGCUGGGAUCUGUGCACACCUCUGGGCUCCCUGCCCCUUGCCAGGGUGCUUGUGAAUGGGGUCAGCUCUGGGGUGAAUGAAGCAUUUCAGUGGCCUGUGGGGAGCUGAGAACAUGGGGAUAGCUUCCAAUGCACAGGACAAGGUGUGUGGACCAUGACUUGUCACCCUUGUGCCUAUAGGGCUCCUUCCUCCCAGCCCUCCUCCUCCUCCAUCCCACUCCUACAUUAGCUCUGCCGCUUUGUUAUCCCACUCCUGAGCCCCUCUAAAGCUAUUAAUGCUCAACCUCUUUAGCAAUAAGGAACAGGCGUGGCGCAUGUUCCCAGUGGAUCUGUCUCCAGGUUGGGUCAUUCUGUUUGUCCCAACCUUUGUGAUGCCCAAGGAGGGCACUGCCGCCCCUAAGCCCCAUCCCCAUCAUGCCAUAGGGACACCACUGUCCCCUGCCCACCUGGGGCUCCGCCUGAAGCUCCCAUGAAAUACUUCCCUACAAAGCAGAAUUACCCCAAAGAGUGAUGGGCUGGCAGGCGAGACCCAAUCCCGUUGAUGGAGGCCAUAAGUUAUAGAGUCCUGGUGAACUGGAGAAAACAUAACAAUCACCUUUUAUAGGCGAAACUUCCCGCAAUAUAUUAAAUUCUCCAGCAAACAGACACGGGGUUUACUGCCAACUAUAACUUUAAUGCCUCCCAACCACUCGGAUAUUUUGGAAGGGUUAUGGAUAACCGGGAGUGCUGCACCUUGCCCUGUGCCAGGCAGCAGCUGUGAUGGGGAUGGGGACGGUCUCCCAACAUGCGUGCCACCCCCAGCCCAGGCUUUUUGGGGCCGUUUCCUUGGUGGAGCCCACCGAGACCUGGCAUUUCUGUGCUGGGAGCCGGGAUGAGCAGUUAUUAGAAGGAAACAGCUGGGAGCGAGGUGAUAUUUAAACUGGUAUUAGGAGAGCACCGCUGUAGGGAGAUAAUGCCUGGGGCGGUUUUGCAGCGCCGGUGCCGAGGGGCUGCUGCAGCCAGCGAUACAGUUAAUUUGCAGCCGGAGCUGGAGGCUGGCCCACACUGAUAUUGCCGUGUUAUUUAGAAGAGAAAGGUCAGGCUGGAGAUUGAAUAAUCAUUGACAAGAAACCCACGGGGGAGCACGGGCAGCGACGCCAGGAGAGCUUGGGCAUCCAUGUGCUGUUAGGGAUUUUGGCUGACAUUCCACAUCCCGUAUCCCACAUCCCAUAUCCCUCACAGUGUAUCUGUCCUGCAUCCCAUCCUGCACCACACAUCCUGCAUCCCGCAGUUUGCAUCCCAUCCUGCACUGCAUCCUGCAUGCCGGAACCUGCAUCCCAUAUCCUGCAUCUUUAUCCUGUACCUUGCAUCCCACAUCCUGCAUCCCACCCUGCUUCCCAAAUCCCACUAGCUCUGCUCUGGAACACCUGGCAUUGGGAAAUCACAGCCCCCAGGGACACUCUGAGCCCCCUCCCCGCCAUGAGCACCAGUGCAGAGGAUGCCAGAAGCCUCCAACCAGGGUCAGAGCUGGUCUUUAUGAGGCAUGGGGAUGGGGUGGUGCCCCACUCCGGGCACCCCAAAUCUCUCCCCUCCAGCUCCCUCUUUUCUUUUUCACUCCCAAAAAAUACACCAGGGUUGGUUUAAGGAUUUUUUUUUUUUUUUUUUUUUUUGCAACAAAAGAAACUAUUUAUUUGGAAUAUGCAUUACCAGUACAAAUCAGGAAACUGUAAAACCUACACCUUGUUAGUAUCGUCAUAGAACAUAAAAGUCUCAAUUGGGAUCAGAAAGACAGAGGCCUUUUUCUUUACAGAAGCAGAAAAGCUUAAAGUUUCAAAACCAGGUCGGAACAGAGAGUCUUUUUUUUUCUUUUUUUUUUUUUUUUAAUAUUUGGAAUCCAUUAGGAAGAGAGGAAAAAAAAAAAAAGAAGGGGAAAAAAAGAGAAAAGAAAAAGCAACUCAGAACAACAGUAUUGUCUUUACAAGGGACAGAAAGGGCUCUGCAAGGAGAACAAAAAAAAGCAAACCAACAAAACCAACCCCCCAGGCAACAUCUGAUUUACAUCAUCCGAAUAAUAAUAAUAAUAAUAAUAAUAAAGGUGUACAAAAACAAAAGGACUCCA